GAUACCUGGCAUAGCAUUAUCUGUGAUCUGCCUCACCACCAGGUUCUAGAUGAUACCAUGAUACCAGUCUGACUUCUCUGGGCAGGUGACCCCACAAAUGUGUCCUGGAACCCUGCCUCCCCAGAGCCCUGCUUGGAGUAUAGAUCAACCUGACUACGCCCAUGUUCAGUGGGGAAGCAAUUACAGAAGCCAGACCUUUCUGCACUUUCUGCACCCCAUAAUGAUCCUGGGUCCAUACUCCCAAAGGAAUAAAGAAAAUGGUCAUCCAAGGAAGAAACUGACAUGCCUCAAAGAACUGCUGGUUUAUGACUGUUGGAAUCAGAAUAGAUGAGAGGUACCAAAUAUAGUACUUCUCUCAUAGCCAGUUAAGUAUUAUCUCCAUCAGGGAAGCUUAUAGUUUAACUACAAAUUGUACUACUCUAGUAAAUAAUGUUGAUUUUUUUUUUAUUGACAAUAUUUUCUAUGGAACACACAGGCUAUAGAAGGAAGAUUACAAAAAAUAUUUGUGAUUAGCAAUAAUUUCUAUUUAUACAUAAAAUUUUUGCAGGGAUGGAGAGAGUUCACUGGUAAGGGACCUACCUUGUCAUAGGCAUGGUCCAGGUCCAAGCCCAACAACACGCGCACGCACGCACACACACACACACACACCCCCACCCCCCUAAAUGACAAGCAUUUACCUCUUGGGAUACAUUCCCUGAAACUCUGUUAGUCAAGAAGCCCAAACUGCUUAUUGGCAACUACUUUAUUUCAUUUUUUCCUAAACUGGAUGAAAUUUCACCCUUAAUAAAAAACUUUCACGCCUGAGGUUCCUGGUUCCAUCCCUGGCACCAAAUGUACCAAGAGUGGUGCUUAACUAGUCUUUCUCCCUCCUCUCUACCUUACUUAUGUGACUCUCAUAUGUAAUAAAUUAAAAAAUGUAUAUAAAAGAGUAUGAAAAGGGUGAGGGCAGAUAGCAUAAUGGUUAUGCAAAAAGACUCUCACGUCUGAGGUUCCAAAGUCCCAGGUUCAAUCCCCUGCAUCACCAUAAGCCAGAGCUGAGCCACUGGUGGAAAAAAAAAAAAAAAGAGUAUAGACUUCCUUUGUUUUUCCCCCAAAGAAAACAUUCAUGUUGAAGUACUGGAAUGAAGAGAAAGAAAAAGGGAGGAUAUCUUAUGUACAUUUUUAUUGUUAUUUUAUUGGAUAGAAACAGAGAAAUCAGAGGUAAAGGGGAGACUGAGAGGGAGAGAAAAAGAGACACCAGCAGCACUGCUUCAAUACUCGUCAAGUUUCCACUCUGCAGGUAGGGUAGGGGCAUUUGAACCUAGGUCCUUGUGCAUGGUAAUGACCUCAUAUAUUUAAAUGAUUUAUUUCUUCAUUAUUAUUAUUUUAAAACCAGAGUACAGCUCAGCUCUGGCUUAUGACAAUGCUGGGGAUCAAACCUGGUACCAUGAGCCUCAGACAUGGAAGUCUUUUAGCAUAUCCAUUGUGUUGUCUCCCUAACCAUCAUUUAUUUACUUUCAAAGGCAAGAAACAGGAACCAGAGCACUGCUCCAGUAGAUGCAGUGCUGGAACGAACUUGGAACUUUCUUUCUUUUUUUUUUUUUUAAAGAUUUUAUUUAUUUUAUGAGAAAGAUAGGAGAGAGAAAGAACCAGACAUCACUGUGGCACAUGUGCUGUCAGGGAUCAAACUCGGGACCUCAUGCUUGAGAGUCCAAAGCUUUACCACUGCACCACCUCCAGGACCACCACUUGGAACUUCCUACAUGCAAGUCCUUGGCUCUACUAUACAACUCUGCCCCCCUCCCAAGGCCCUUCUUUUUAACAUGCCUUCUUUUUCUGUCUUUCUUCCUUUCUUAGUAUUUUAUUUAUUUUAUUUUUGAGAGAGAAACACACAGAGAGAAGCACCAGAACACUGCUCAGCUCUGGUUUAUGGUGGUGCAGGGGAUUGAACCUGGGACUUUGGAGCCUCAGGCAUGACAGUCUCUUUGCAUAACCAUUAUGCUAUCUACCCCUGCCCCCCCUUCUUUUCUUUUUUUUUUAUAUCUUUUUUAAAAUUUAUUUAUUCCCUUUUGUUGCCCUUGUUGUAGUUAUUAUUGUUGUUGUCGUCGUUGUUAGAUAGGACAGAGAGAAAUGGAGAGAGGAGGGGAAGACAGAGAGGGGGAGAGAAAGAGAGACACCUGCAGACCUGCUUCACCGCCUGUGAAGCGACUCCCCUGCAGGUGGGGAGCCGGGGUUCGAACCGGGAUCCUUAUGCCGGUCCUUGUGCUUUGCGCCACCUGCGCUUAACCCGCUGCGCUACAGCCCGACUUCCUCUUUU